CAUAUGUAUUUUUUGCACUGGUUCCAUGUAUAUUGUGUUUUUCUGUCCAUCAUGGGUCCACACACUUCACAGCGUUUCUUUUUGGCUGACGGGCUGGUCCUACAUCUGGCUGCUUGCGGGUUGUUCCUGGGGCUGGCUGCUUGCGGGUUGUUCCUGGGGCUGGCUGCUUGCGGGUUGGUCCUGGGGCUGGCUGCUUGCGGGAUGGUCCUGCCUGCUGAAGGGCUAGUCCUGAGGCUCUUUUACGUUUCGGAGCUGGCUGAUGCUCAUCCUCCUCUUCAAACUCGGUGUCAGACUCUGAAAUGUUAUCCUCACUUUCCGAAACUAUUUCCUCUGCAUCACCAUCAAAACCCUCUGUCUCUUCAAAUAUCAACUGUAAGGCAGUCUGAACAGAGAAUCGCUUUGCCAUCUUGAUCAGUUGUGGUAUGGAACCACGCUGACAGAGCUUUUUUAUAGUGUCAGGUCCCGAAGCUUGAUAGUGUUGGGUGCUUCAAUUUUGCAACCUUGUGCGGGAACAGUGGGUGCACACUGUGGGUGCUCACACCAAGGGCCCAUUCCCCUGCUUCACCUGCUUCACCUCUCUCUCUCUCACACACACACACACACACACACACACACACACACACACACACACACACACACACACACACACACAGGCCCGCCGACAGGGGGGGACAAACGGGUACGUUGUCCCGGGCCCUGGACUGGCCCUGGAAUGGGGGGGGCCCAUAACUGGACCCCCAUGAAGUUGGGAUUAAUUAUUGUAUGUAUACUUCAAAAUGUGUUGAUUUAGAGAAGAAAAGUGCUUUAUUUGCAUUCAAUUAAUGACUCCUAGAUUGUUUGCCUUCAUUGCCCUUGAAAAAACGGCCAAUAACCCCCUAUCACCCCUAUGGCAAAAUGGUUUGGUCUUUGGAGAAGAAAAAAGACGACAUCAUUCCAUUAGUGGUCAGUGCGCGAGUCAGGAGCCCUGAAAAAAAAAGAAAGGCGAAAAAGAGAGGAAGAAGCCGAAAGCCUGAGGGGAUCUCUUUAUAAAUAUUUCAGAAAAGACUCAGGUGAUGCUGCAGGUACCAGUAAAGGCAGCUGUGCAGCACAGCCAGGUAAGACACGGCCAACUUUUUCCAGCCCCGUCGUCAAGUAACACAGGCACAGGCGGCGUGUCAAACAUAUUAGCGCAGCACCACAUGAGCAAGUCACACGGAGAUCAAUAUCAGACAGACAGGGGGCAUUGAAUAAUUUGAUAACCACAACGGCUUUAUUACACUGUGUUUCAUACGCCUAUAUCUAAUUGAAUCUUAGAAUAUGCACAUUACCCCGCAAAUAGGCCCAUGUCCAAAUCAAAUGUUUCAGGCAGGCACGCGCUGCGCACUCCAAUCAGGCUGAAUUGAUUUGAGAAUCAUUCCCAGUCAGCUGAAUUACAGCCAGUGUAACGCGGCUCAUGGUUUAAAAUAAGCCAGUGGCAUGGCAACAUGUGAAAUUGCCAUUUAGAUAGAGUUGGAUGUAACGAAUGGGUUAUAAACGUGACGUUUUGGGGUAGCCUGUAACUUAGUUUCUGAUUGCCGUUAACUUGAAACUCGCCAGAUGAAUGGGCUCCGCCUUGUUCCCCAAACAUUCUCUGGAAGUUCAGCGGACAUAAACGCGGGUCUGGCGAUAAAUAAAAGUACCCUUGACAUGAUUCCCCUU